GGAUGCCCAGGUACAUUUGAAUUUCAGAUAAACAGCAAAUAAUAUUUUAGUAUAAGUCUAUCUCAUGCAAUAUUUGGGACGUACUUAUACUAAAAAGUAAUUCAUGUCUGAAAUUCAGCUUUAAGUGGGCAUC
rnacentral:pre_miRNA from 14 species